GAUGAACGCUGGCGGCGUGCUUAACACAUGCAAGUCGAACGGAAAGGCUCCUGCUUGCCGGGGUUCUCGAGUGGCGAACGGGUGAGUAACACGUGGGUGAUCUGCCCUGCACUUCGGGAUAAGCCUGGGAAACUGGGUCUAAUACCGGAUAGGACGAUGGUUUGGAUGCCAUUGUGGAAAGUUUUUCGGUGUGGGAUGAGCUCGCGGCCUAUCAGCUUGUUGGUGGGGUAAUGGCCUACCAAGGCGUCGACGGGUAGCCGGCCUGAGAGGGUGUACGGCCACAUUGGGACUGAGAUACGGCCCAGACUCCUACGGGGGGCAGCAGUGGGGAAUAUUGCACAAUGGGCGCAAGUCUGAUGCAGCGACGCCGCGUGGGGGAUGACGGCCUUCGGGUUGUAAACUCCUUUCGCUAGGGACGAAGCGCAAGUGACGGUACCUGGAGAAGAAGCACCGGCUAACUACGUG
rnacentral:rRNA from 1 species